GUAUACAUUUCUCUAUUUUUCUCCAACAGCCACCCACUUUUAUUGCCAAUGAAAGAGUCCAAUUCCAGCCUUCUUUAUGUUACUUUUAAUUCCUUCAGCUGCUUCGACUUUCGUGGGAAUUAUAUAUGUAAUUCAGCUUGCAGCCAACCAGUUAAUUCCACACAGCUAGCCGUCUUUAUCAAUUCAGCAACUUAAUUCCCCAGCUGUUUCAAUCUCUCCCCAAGCAGCCUGCUUCCUGUGGGAAUUAUAUAUGUAUAAAAAUCAGAUUUGAGCCCACCAAUUAAUUCCCCACCUGCUGGCCGACAAUCACAAUUCAACCACGCAAUCUAUCGGCUUUAUGUGGGUGAGUGUAUAUAUAUAAUUUAACUUUUGCAGCCCACUAAUUCACCCCCACAAACUUCUCAAUUGUUUUGGUGGAAGAAUUC
rnacentral:lncRNA from 1 species